UCAGAAGAAGGAAUGGGCAAGGAAUAGACAAAAUUUAGAAAAGUGUGAUUGAUAUAUGCAAAUUUUGUGGCACAGUAAGCAUGAGAAUAAGUCACGGUCAACUAAAAAGUGCUGAAAGACAGGAGGCUAACAUUGAGUAAUCAUAGUCUAUGGGCUAUCAUAAUAGUCAUUCCUGUAUCCUUAACAUCAACCCGAUUGACAAGCUCCUCAUCAGUCCAGGCACUUCACAUUGAAUAGUCUGUCAACAUGGCUCAUAAUAAAAGAAUCAGCUUGAUAGGAAAUGUUCCUGAAAACAGUCAGUUGAGAGUAAAAGGAAACUGUCACCCUAACACUACGACAAGUUCUUAGCUGGAAUGACCAGACUCAACUUCACAGAACUGAGAGGAGCCCAGACGGGUGCUACUCAAAAGUGAGGACACCAAAGGGAUGACUGUGCUCUCAAAAGAGGAAAGUGACAACCAGAGCUAAGCAUUUUUGGCUUUUAAUUAACUUAUGCCUGAGAUGAACAACAGCUUCUCUGCCCCGCACCCUCCCCCAUUAGCAUAUGCUCCCGCCUUCCUGCUGUCAGCAAGUCGGUUGAGAAGAUCCGUACGUCAGUGGAGACAUAAGAGGGACAAGCAGAGAGCAAGCACAGAAAGACAGGAACAGAGGCAGGCAGAGGAACUGAGGUUAGGGAAGAGGGGGAAUGAAAGACAUCCUAGGGUGUACACAGCACAGGGGACCGGGGCCAAGGGAAAUAGGUCAUGGGGAGUGGGAGAGCUGCGAAAACACCCAGAGAAGAUGGGCUGUACGAAAAGAGUAAUUCUAUCUUUCCAGUUAGAAGAGCAUCUCAAAUCUUUGCCCCUGCUGAGAUCCCAAUGUGGGCAGCCCAAUCACUAACACGCUGUUCAUGAAUUCAGCAGGCUCUCUUGGAAAUUGCUGAUUGCCCCACAUCAGAGCAGCCAAACAAAAACCAUACUCUUCCCCUUUAAAACAGUACAUUCAAUGCAGCACAUUCUUCCUCUCUGCCCCAUUAUCCCAUUUGCACUCAAAAGGAAACUUGUACUUGAAGGCAUAUUAGAAAAUAUUUAUUUAGAACACCAUUUACCACAUUGUGCCAAGGUGACAAGGCUAGGUAAUAAAUAGAAAAAGAAAAAAGAAAAUUUAAACGGUAGCAUCAAAGGCAGCCUUUCUAUUUCAAAACACAAGAAAAUAACCUUAUAAUGAGGAGUCACAGAGAGAACCGAAGAUGCUGCUGUGACUACACAUCCAGCUUCAAACCCUAUUGUUCUAGUUGGGAGAGUACAGGAGGGGGACGGAGUCAGUAAAUCAGAAGAAAGGAGAGAAGUAUAAAUAACUUAUGCUCCUUUAAAGGCACAUAGGCAAGAUGAAAUUCAUAUUUAAAAAAGGGUUCUCUCUGCUGUUAUUAAAACUUAAAGAACUUUGCAAAGCAGCUAAAUUACUUUUACCAUUUAUUCUGUUAGCUUACUUUCUCCAUUUCAAUUUGUAGCAUGAGACCAGAGGAGGGAUGGGUCAGUUUUCUUUUGCUUACUGCU